UAUGAUCUGAUAAGGUUGUAGCCAAACAGGAACAGGUAAUAAUGUUAGUGACAUCAGAAAGAUAGCAGUUCUUGAAUAUAUAUUAAGCACAUUGGAAUAAUAGGAAAAGUCCUUCAUCCUGGGAUUUCAAAGUCGCCAAGUGCAUUCAUACCUUGACUCAGUAAGAUAGCAGAUUUGACAAAUUGGUAUUCUUGGGGACCAAGCGCUCUAACAAAGCAGGCAUGUCCAGCUCUGGCCGGGCCUGCAGGGCCACUGUCCUGCCUGUUUUCCAUCUCUCCUGAUUCAGAUGAUCAGUUCUGAAGCGGCAAUAAAACAUUCAGGAUUAUUUGAAUCAGGUGUGUUGCUCCUGGGAGAGCUGGAAAACAGGCAGGACAGCACCCUACACCGAGGAGAAUUUCAUGGCUAAGGAAGGACCAAUCGUAGCCUCGAGGCAGAAGAGAAGUAGGCAAGAGCCUGACAGGAUGAACCCCGGGGAGCUCUAACUUGGCAGCCCAGUCAGAUGAGCCUCUCCCCUCACCCAAUCACAGGAGAUUACAACACAAAAGUACAUCAUCCGACACCCCCUCCUCACAUCACCUGAGGCCAUGGCACCAUGCAGUUGCUCCAAGAGUUGUUCUCUCGGUCCCGCACAUGUUCUCCGUCUGUCUUAAGACUUUUAUGAACGUCUUACUUUGCCUCUCCUCAAACAUCUAAUUGUUGCCUCCUUCUUCUAUCCUGUGCUGACAGCCUCAAUGAGGUAGGUCCAACGGCAGACAUCUAAAAAAUGCAACUCGGACAAUUAUUAGAACAGCAUGUCGUCGCAAAUGCAUUCGGUAGAAAAGGAAAUUACAUCGCAACAUGUGUUUAGAGUUUCAACACUUGGCACUCAAGCAGACAGUGUGAGAUGCAGCCGCUUGGAUCGUGUGCGUUUGUGUGAGAGGGAGAGAGACAACCACGUAUAUGAAAAACCAAACUAAUUGGAUAACACGUACACUUGGAUAAAAAUGUUGAUGGACUGGUUUGUUUUUUUAACCCAUCAAAAUAUUGGGAAGCUGUAACAAGUGCGACAAGAUGUUGGCUCAUGCCUCACUUGCUAAUUCCAUCCAAAACAUCUGUAGUUAAACUAUGCACGCCAUACAGAGCCAAUACAUAUUGUUUUUUUGCUACUGUUCGAAAAGGUUUGUCAUACAAAAUGAACAAUGGGCAUUUUGAAAGGAGUUGUCAAUGAAUCCAAGUGAGAGGAUAUCAUAUACAGCCUCUCAGGAAGAGCCAUUGUCUGUCGGGGAGAUUAGUAUCUUCAAACAUACCCAAUAGGGGACAUCCUAGCGGAUGUUUAUGAGUGAAAGUAUAGCCACAUUAUCACCUAUUUUGCUGAGAAUGGGUGAGUAACUUUUCUUGUGGGCGGUGAGUCACUUAACUCCAGUCGACUGUGGUCAGCUUUUCAUGGACUCCCUUGACUUUAUUGUCGUGUAAACACAUCCGUGAAAUGUGACAUCUGCAUGUAGCCAAGCGCAGUCAUGAACGCAGCAGGGCCGCGCUGUUGAUGAAGCGAACAGGCAACAGGAAGCUUUCCAGCUUAAUGGGAGCAGUUGGGAGGUGGAUUCGAACCAAAGGGCCCUUUCCUGGCCACGGGUCGAGACACUCCUCUACAGCUGCUCCAAAAUGGAGGAGGAAGGGUGGAGAACCGUAAAUAUAGUUGAGUGAGUGCAUGUCAUUGUUUCUCUCCCGCCAUGUGAUUACAGUCAGGAAGUCAUUUUUUACACAAUUUCAAGUCUCUUAUCAAGCCACGUCCAUAUCUUGAUUACAUUUGAACAUCAUCCAAAUUACGCCGGGGGACGCAAUAUUGGAUUUGUAUGACUAUUUACGUCAGAACAAUUCGUUAAGUUCAAGAGGCGGUGUGGUUUUCCUGACGUGGAUGAUUACAAGUGGACAGAUCAGUGCAAAGUCACACGAAAAACCAUGUGGAGCCUGCAAUGGGAUUCAACUCACACAUGUAGAGAACAGUGUAAAAUUCAUCUUCUGGAGUAACUUCUCUAUAAAAGAUUUUUUGAAAAGUGUGCUUUUCUUUUUAAUCAUCACGUUACAUUGUCCAUUUGUCAUGAUGACAAAAGACAUAUAUUAAAAAUUCUGGGGGGGGGGGGUAUUUUGGAUGGAAGAAAGGCGCACAUUUCUUUCCAUCCAAAACUUGU